UAGCAUGACAAAUUGGAGAAGCUCCUGCCCCAUGUUUUGAUUUGCAGUUGGGAGAUAAGAACUGUGAACCUAUUGGAGGACUCGUUGCUCAAUGGAGAUGAUUGCCCACAUGAAGAUCAGCAAGCUUGUGAUCGGGCUGCUUGGGAAUAUACUAUUGGUGAACUUGAUAAACUCACUCCCUAAUAGGAGAACACUCACGGUUAUCAAGGAGAGGAAAAGCAAAGAUAACCAAGGCCCUCAACUCUGGUUCCACCAACACCCGGGCUGCCACUGCCUACGACCGUGCUCGGCCUUAUCACUUUUGAUGCCACCAUCCUCAAUGUCAUUUUUUACCUAGAUUACUUCAUCGUUACUAGCAUCGGCAUCAACUACAUCGAUUUUACCGUCAACACCCACUAUGAUAUCCCCACAGCGAGACAAAAUCAUGUCCAAAUCAAUCUGAUAUCGAUCAGAUCAGAAUCCGAAAUGGAUCAUCUCUAAAUCGGUGAGAUGCUGAUCAGAUUUGAUCAUCUUUGGAUUGACCAAAUACCAAC
rnacentral:lncRNA from 1 species